rnacentral:rRNA from 1 species
CCUACGGUGAGCUGCAGUGAGGAAUAUUGGUCAAUGGACGCAAGUCUGAACCAGCCAUGCCGCGUGCAGGAAGACGGCUCUAUGAGUUGUAAACUGCUUUUGUACGAGGGUAAACGCAGAUACGCGUAUCUGUCUGAAAGUAUCGUACGAAUAAGGAUCGGCUAACUCCGUGCCAGCAGCCGCGGUAAUACGGAGGAUUCAAGCGUUAUCCGGAUUUAUUGGGUUUAAAGGGUGCGUAGGCGGUCGGAUAAGUUAGAGGUGAAAUCCCGAGGCUCAACUUCGGAAUUGCCUCUGAUACUGUUCGGCUAGCGAGUAGUUGCGGUAGGCGGAAUGUAUGGUGUAGCGGUGAAAUGCUUAGAGAUCAUACAGAACACCGAUUGCGAAGGCAGCUUACCAAGCUACUUCUGACGUUGAGGCACGAAAGCGUGGGGAGCAAACAGGAUUAGAUACCCCAGUAGUC